rnacentral:rRNA from 1 species
AUUGGAAGAGUCCGGCUAAGCAGUGAGGUGUAAGAUGAGUCAAAUGCUUAUCUUUAUAACAUUGAGCUGUGAUGGGGAGCGAAUUUUAGUAGCGAAGUUAGUGAUGUCACACUGCCAAGAAAAGCUUCUAGCGUUUAAUGAUACUCUACCCGUACCGCAAACCGACACAGGUAGUCGAGGCGAGUAGCCUCAGGUGAUCGAGAGAACUCUCGUUAAGGAACUCGGCAAAAUGACCCCGUAACUUCGGGAGAAGGGGUGCUGACUUAGGUCAGCCGCAGUGAAUAGGCCCAAGCAACUGUUUAUCAAAAACACAGCUCUCUGCUAAAUCGUAAGAUGAUGUAUAGGGGGUGACGCCUGCCUGGUGCUGGAAGGUU